UAACAUUUAGUUUAAAAAAAAUAGAGAUCUGUGGAGUCUCAGAUAUAAAAUUAAUGUUAU
rnacentral:tRNA from 1 species